rnacentral:rRNA from 1 species
AUACGUAGGUGGCGAGCGUUGUCCGGAAUUAUUGGGCGUAAAGGGCGCGUAGGCGGAUCUGUAAGUCUGACUUAAAAGUGCAGGGCUCAACCCUGUGAGGGGUCAGAAACUAUAGAUCUUGAGUGCAGGAGAGGAAAGUGGAAUUCCCAGUGUAGCGGUGAAAUGCGUAGAUAUUGGGAGGAACACCAGUGGCGAAGGCGACUUUCUGGACUGUGUCUGACGCUGAGGCGCGAAAGCCAGGGGAGUGAACGGGAUUAGAUACCCCGGUAAUCCUGGCCGUAAACGAUGGGUACUAGGUGUAGGAGGUAUCGACCCCUUCUGUGCCGGAGUUAACGCAAUAAGUACCCCGCCUGGGGAGUACGGCCGCAAGGUUGAA